rnacentral:rRNA from 1 species
AGUCGAACGGCAGCGCGGGGCAACCUGGCGGCGAGUGGCGAACGGGUGAGUAAUAUAUCGGAACGUACCCAGAAGUGGGGGAUAACGUAGCGAAAGUUACGCUAAUACCGCAUACGAUCUACGGAUGAAAGUGGGGGACCUUCGGGCCUCAUGCUUUUGGAGCGGCCGAUAUCUGAUUAGCUAGUUGGUGAGGUAAAGGCUCACCAAGGCGACGAUCAGUAGCUGGUCUGAGAGGACGACCAGCCACACUGGAACUGAGACACGGUCCAGACUCCUACGGGAGGCAGCAGUGGGGAAUUUUGGACAAUGGGCGCAAGCCUGAUCCAGCAAUGCCGCGUGAGUGAAGAAGGCCUUCGGGUUGUAAAGCUCUUUUGUCAGGGAAGAAACGGUUCGGGCUAAUAUCCUGGGCUAAUGACGGUACCUGAAGAAUAAGCACCGGCUAACUACGUGCCAGCAGCCGCGGUAAUACGUAGGGUGCAAGCGUUAAUCGGAAUUACUGGGCGUAAAGCGUGCGCAGGCGGUUUUGUAAGUCUGACGUGAAAGCCCCGGGCUCAACCUGGGAAUUGCGUUGGAGACUGCAAGGCUUGAAUCUGGCAGAGGGGGGUAGAAUUCCACGUGUAGCAGUGAAAUGCGUAGAGAUGUGGAGGAACACCGAUGGCGAAGGCAGCCCCCUGGGUCAAGAUUGACGCUCAUGCACGAAAGCGUGGGGAGCAAACAGGAUUAGAUACCCUGGUAGUCCACGCCCUAAACGAUGUCUACUAGUUGUCGGGUUUUAAUUAACUUGGUAACGCAGCUAACGCGUGAAGUAGACCGCCUGGGGAGUACGGUCGCAAGAUUAAAACUCAAAGGAAUUGACGGGGACCCGCACAAGCGGUGGAUGAUGUGGAUUAAUUCGAUGCAACGCGAAAAACCUUACCUACCCUUGACA